GACGAACGCUGGCGGCGUGCUUAACACAUGCAAGUCGAACGGAAAGGCCCUGCUUGCAGGGUACUCGAGUGGCGAACGGGUGAGUAACACGUGGGUGAUCUGCCCUGCACUUCGGGAUAAGCCUGGGAAACUGGGUCUAAUACCGGAUAGGAGCCAUUUUUAGUGUGAUGGUUGGAAAGUUUUUUCGGUGUAGGAUGAGCUCGCGGCCUAUCAGCUUGUUGGUGGUGUAAUGGCCUACCAAGGCGGCGACGGGUAGCCGGCCUGAGAGGGUGGACGGCCACAUUGGGACUGAGAUACGGCCCAGACUCCUACGGGAGGCAGCAGUGGGGAAUAUUGCACAAUGGGCGCAAGCCUGAUGCAGCGACGCCGCGUGGGGGAUGACGGCCUUCGGGUUGUAAACUCCUUUCGCUAGGGACGAAGCUUUUGUGACGGUACCUAGAUAAGAAGCACCGGCUAACUACGUG
rnacentral:rRNA from 1 species